GCGGGGGUAGCCAAGUCCGGUCAAAGGCGCAAGGUUGAGGGCCUUGUCUCACAGGAGUCCGAGGGUUCAAAUCCCUUCCCCCGCA
rnacentral:tRNA from 1 species